GGGCCCGUAGCUCAGCCUGGAUGGAGCGGCGGCCUGCGGAGCCGUAGGUCGUGGGUUCAGGCAAUGCCGCCCAGAAAUCCCACCGGGCCCG
rnacentral:tRNA from 1 species